GGACACGGCAGAGCACAAGUUCUACUUCAGAGAGAUCAGGGCUGGAAAGAAACUACGUUUCACAGGGCUUUGUAGGAGAUGUCCCCAGUAGGCUGUAAGUGCACUGUGGAGAGCCAGUUGUUUCUUAGCUUCCCAAAGAGCUGGAAGGAAGACCGUUUGUGGCUUGUCUCCUUUAGAGGCAAUGACUCAGCGCUUUGUGACUUCCACCUCUAGAGAAACGUAGAACACUGCUUAGAGCAGAAGUUGCAAGACGGCGACAUCUGGGCUGGAAAGAAACUGUAUUUCAGGACCUUGUAUUAGAGGUUCCCGGUAGGCUGUAAGAGCCCAGUGGAAAGCGAGUUCUUACUCACGUUGCAAAAGAAUUGGAAGCAAGACGACCUGUGGCCAGUCUCCUCUUUAGGAAGCCAGGCAGAGCUUUGUGACUUCCACCUCUAGGGAAGUGUAGGACACGGCAGAGCAGAAGUUCUACUUCAGCGAUAUCAGGGCUGGGAAGAAACUGCGUUUCACAGACCUUUGUGAGAGAUGUUCCCAGUAGGCUGUAAGAGCACUAUGGAGAAGCACUUGUUUCUUAGCUUCUGAGACGUGGAAGCAAGACCGUUUGUGGCUUGUCUCCUCUGGAGGCAAUGAAUCAGCGCUUUGAGGCUUCCACCUCUAGAGCAAUGUAGAACACAGCUUGGAACAGAAGAUCCAACGGGGCGAGAUCAGGGCUGGAAACAAACUGCAUUUCAGUACUUUGUAUUAGAGGUUCCCGGUAGGCUGUAGGAGCCCAGGGGAAAGCGAGUUCUUUCCCACCUUGGAAAGAGCUGGAAGCAAGACGCUUUGUGGCCUGUCUCCCCUUGAAUAAACAAGGCAGGUCUUUGUGACUUGCAUCUCUAGGGCAAUGUAGGACACGUCGGAGCAUAAGUUCUAAUUCAGCUAGAUCUGGGCUGGGAAUAAACUGCAUUUCACAGGCCUUCGUGAGAGAUGUUCCCAGUAGGCUGUCAGAGCACUGCGGAGAGCGAGUUCUUUCUUAGCUUCUGAAACAGCAGGAAGCAAGAUUCUUUGUGGAGUUUGUCCCCUUGAGGCAAGAGGGCAGGACUUUGUGCCUUGCACCUCUAGGGCAAUGUAGGACACGGCAGAGCGGAAGUUCUACUUCAGCGAAGUCAGGGCUGGAAAGAAACUGCGUUUCAAGGGCCUUUGUAAGAGAUGUUCCCCGUAGGCUCUAAGAGCACUGUGGAGUGCGAGUUCUUUCUCACCUUGCCAAAGGUCGGGAAGCAAGACGGUCUGUGGCCUGUCUCCUCUUAAGGAAACCAGGCAGGGCUUUGUGACUUCCACCUCUAGGGUAAUGUGUUACACGGCAGAGCAGAAGUUCUUCUUCAGCGAGAUCAGGGUUGGCAAGAAACUGCGCUUCACAGGCCUUUGUAAGAGAUGUUGCCGGUAGGCUGUAAGAGCACUGUGGAAAGCGAGUUGUUUCUUAGCUUCCCCUAGAGCUGGAAGCAAGACUGCUUGUGUCUUGUCUCCUGUGGCGGCACUGACUCAGCGCUCUGUGUCUUCCAUCUCUAGAGCAAUGUUGACAUGGCUUAGAACAGUAGUUCCAAGGCAGUGAGAUCAUGGCUGGAAACAAACUGCAUUUCAGGCCUUAAUAUGAGAGUUUCCCAAUAGGCUGUAAGAGCGCUGUUGAAAGCGAGUUCUUUCUCACCUUCCCAAAGAGCUGGAAGCGACACGGUCUGUUGCAUGUCUCAUUUUAAGGAAGACAGGGAGGCCAUUGUGACUUCCAACUCUAGGGAAAUGUAUUACACGGCAGAGCAGAAGUUCUACUUCAGUGAGAUCAGGGCUGGGAGGAAACUGCGUUUCAAAGGCCUUUGUAAGAGAUGUCCCCGGUAGGCUGUAAGAGCACUGUGUAGAGCAAGUUGUUUCUUAGCUUCCAAAACAGCUGGAAGCAAGGCCGUUUGUUGGUUGUCUCAUUUGGUGGGAAGGAGUCAGCGCUUUGUGUGUUCCACCUCUAGAUCAAUGUAGGACAUGGCUUAGAGCAGAAGUUCCAAGGCGGUGAGCUCAUGGCUGGAAACAAACUGCAUUUCAGGCCUAAGUAUGAGAGGUUCCUGGUAGGCUGUAAGAGCCAUGUGGAAAGCGAGUUCAUUCUCAACUUGCCAAAGACUGGAAGUGAGACGGUCUGAGGCCUGUCUCCCCUUAAGGAAGCCGGGCAGGCCAUUGAGACUUCCACCUCUAGGUCAAUGUAUUACAACGAAGAUCAGAAGUUCUACUUCAGUGAGAUCAGGCCUUGGAAGAAACUGCGUUUCACAGGCCUUUGUGAGAGAUGUUCCCACUAGGCUGUAAGAGCACAUUGGAGAGCGAGUUGUUUCUUAGCUUCCCAAAGAGCUGGAAGCAAGACGCUUGUGGUCUGUCUCCCCUUGAGGAAACAAGGCAGGACUUUGUAUCUUGCACUUCUAGGGCAACAUAGAACACGGCAACGCAGAAGUUCUACUUCAGUGAGAUCAUGGCUGGGAAGAAACUGCGUUUCACAGGCCUUUGUGAGAGAUGUUCCCGGUAGGCUGUAAGAGCACUCUGGAGAGUGAGUUGUUUCUUGACUUCCCAAAGACCUGGAAGCAACACCGUUUGUGGCUAGUCUACUGUCGAGGCAAUGACUCAGUGCUUUGUCACUUCCACCUCUAGAGCUAUGCAGGACAUGGCUUAGAGCAAAAUUUCAAAGUCGGCGUGAGCUCUCCUGGAAACAAACUUCGUUUCAAGUCUUUGUAUCAGAGGUUUCCGGUAGACUGUAAGAGACAAGGGGAAAGCGAGAUCUUUCU
rnacentral:lncRNA from 1 species